UGGGGAGUCGUCUAACGGUAGGACAGCUGACUCUGGAUCAGCCAGUUGGGGUUCGAAUCCCUGCUCCCCAGCCA
rnacentral:tRNA from 3 species